rnacentral:rRNA from 1 species
AGUGAACGCUGGCGGUAGGCCUAACACAUGCAAGUCGAACGGCAGCACAGUAAGACCUUCCUCUUUCGGGACGCGAGUGGCGGACGGGUGAGGAAUACAUCGGACUCUACUUUGUCGUGGGGGAUCUCGUAGGGACACUUACGCUAAUACCGUAUACUACCUACGGGUGAAAGCAGGGGAUCUUCGGCCCUUGCCCUCUUGAAUGAGCCGAUGUCGGAUUAGCUAGUUGGGGGGGUAAAGGCCCACCAAGGCGACGAUCCGUAGCUGGUCUGAGAGGAUGAUCAGCCACACUGGAACUGAGACACGGUCCAGACUCCUACGGGAGGCAGCAGUGGGGAAUAUUGGACAAUGGGCGCAAGCCUGAUCCAGCCAUACCGCGUGGGUGAAGAAGGCCUUCGGGUUGUAAAGCCCUUUUGUUGGGAAAGAAAAGCAGCAGGUUAAUACCCCGCUGUUCUGACGGUACCCAAAGAAUAAGCACCGGCUAACUUCGUG